UACGAAGGGGGCUAGCGUUGCUCGGAAUUAUUGGGCGUAAAGCGCAUGUAGGCGGUUUAGUAAGUCUGAUGUGAAAUCCCUGGACUCAAUUCAGGAACUGCAUUGGAUACUGCUAGACUAGAGUAGAGGAGAGGUAGGCGGAAUUCCUGGUGUAGAGGCGAAAUUCGUAGAUAUCAGGAGGAACAACAGAGGCGAAGGCGGCUUACUGGACUCUAACUGACGCUGAGAUGCGACAGUGUGGGGGAGCAAACAGGG
rnacentral:rRNA from 1 species